UACGAAGGGUGCAAGCGUUAAUCGGAAUUACUGGGCGUAAAGGGUGCGUAGGCGGUUCGUUAAGUCUGUCGUGAAAUCCCCGGGCUCAACCUGGGAAUGGCGAUGGAUACUGGCGAGCUAGAGUGUGUCAGAGGAUGGUGGAAUUCCCGGUGUAGCGGUGAAAUGCGUAGAGAUCGGGAGGAACAUCAGUGGCGAAGGCGGACAUCUGGGACAACACUGACGCUGAAGCACGAAAGAGUGGGGAGCAAACAGG
rnacentral:rRNA from 1 species